rnacentral:rRNA from 1 species
AUGAACGCUGGCGGCGUGCCUAAUACAUGCAAGUCGAGCGAACGGACGAGAAGCUUGCUUCUCUGAUGUUAGCGGCGGACGGGUGAGUAACACGUGGAUAACCUACCUAUAAGACUGGGAUAACUUCGGGAAACCGUAGCUAAUACCGGAUAAUAUUUUGAACCGCAUGGUUCAAAAGUGAAAGACGGUCUUGCUGUCACUUAUAGAUGGAUCCGCGCUGCAUUAGCUAGUUGGUAAGGUAACGGCUUACCAAGGCAACGAUGCAUAGCCGACCUGAGAGGGUGAUCGGCCACACUGGAACUGAGACACGGUCCAGACUCCUACGGGAGGCAGCAGUAGGGAAUCUUCCGCAAUGGGCGAAAGCCUGACGGAGCAACGCCGCGUGAGUGAUGAAGGUCUUCGGAUCGUAAAACUCUGUUAUUAGGGAAGAACAUAUGUGUAAGUAACUGCGCACAUCUUGACGGUACCUGAUCAGAAAGCCACGGCUAACUACGUG